UGGACAGUAGCUAAUAGGUAGAGCUUUCGCUUCAUAAGCGAAAAGGCCCGAGAUGGACUCCCGGCUGCUUUG
rnacentral:tRNA from 1 species